AACGAACGCUGGCGGCAGGCUUAACACAUGCAAGUCGAACGCCCCGCAAGGGGAGUGGCGCACGGGUGAGUAACGCGUGGGAAUAUGCCCUUCGGUUCGGAAUAACACAGGGAAACUUGUGCUAAUACCGGAUACGAUCUACGGAUGAAAGAUUUAUCGCCGAGGGAGUAGCCCGCGUAGGAUUAGCUAGUUGGUGAGGUAAUGGCUCACCAAGGCGACGAUCCUUAGCUGGUCUGAGAGGAUGAUCAGCCACACUGGGACUGAGACACGGCCCAGACUCCUACGGGAGGCAGCAGUGGGGAAUAUUGGACAAUGGGGGAAACCCUGAUCCAGCCAUGCCGCGUGAGUGAUGAAGGCCUUAGGGUUGUAAAGCUCUUUCGCCAGGGAAGAUAAUGACGGUACCUAGAAAAGAAGCCUCGGCUAACUUCGUGCCAGCAGCCGCCGUAACAC
rnacentral:rRNA from 1 species